GGGACACGUGAUAUCCUGUCUGAAUAUGGGGGGACCAUCCUCCAAGGCUAAAUACUACUGACUGACCGAUAGUGAACCAGUACCGUGAGGGAAAGGCGAAAAGAACCCCUGUGAGGGGAGUGAAAUAGAACCUGAAACCGUGUACGUACAAGCAGUAGGAGCACCUUCGUGGUGUGACUGCGUACCUUUUGUAUAAUGGGUCAGCGACUUAUAUUCAGUGGCAAGGUUAACCAUCUAGGGGAGCCGUAGGGAAACCGAGUCUUAACUGGGCGUUCAGUCUCUGGAUAUAGACCCGAAACCAGGUGAUCUAGCCAUGGGCAGGUUGAAGGUUGAGUAACAUCAACUGGAGGACCGAACCGACUAAUGUUGAAAAAUUAGCGGAUGACUUGUGGCUAGGGGUGAAAGGCCAAUCAAACCUGGAGAUAGCUGGUUCUCCCCGAAAGCUAUUUAGGUAGCGCCUCGGACGAAUACUACUGGGGGUAGAGCACUGUUAAGGCUAGGGGGUCAUCCCGACUUACCAACCCUUUGCAAACUCCGAAUACCAGUAAGUACUAUCCGGGAGACACACGGCGGGUGCUAACGUCCGUCGUGGAGAGGGAAACAACCCAGACCGCCAGCUAAGGUCCCAAAUUACUACUAAGUGGGAAACGAUGUGGGAAGGCUCAGACAGCCAGGAUGUUGGCUUAGAAGCAGCCAUCAUUUAAAGAAAGCGUAAUAGCUCACUGGUCGAGUCGGCCUGCGCGGAAGAUGUAACGGGGCUAAGUAGUAAACCGAAGCUGCGGCAAUGCACUUUAGUGCAUUGGGU
rnacentral:rRNA from 1 species